UACGUAGGGUGCGAGCGUUGUCCGGAAUUAUUGGGCGUAAAGAGCUUGUAGGCGGUCUGUCGCGUCUGCUGUGAAAAUCCGGGGCUCAACCCCGGACUUGCAGUGGGUACGGGCAGACUAGAGUGUGGUAGGGGGAGACUGGAAUUCCUGGUGUAGCGGUGAAAUGCGCAGAUAUCAGGGAGGAACACCGAUGGCGAAGGCAGGU
rnacentral:rRNA from 1 species